rnacentral:lncRNA from 1 species
AUGAAGAACACGCGGGAAGCCAAGCGAUACCAUCACUACAAAGCCCCCCGCAACUUCAGCAACGAGCACAAGUCGGGAGUGCUUUCUACCUGGGCCACCACUUUCCCUCGUGUAACCAAGUUGUUUACUUGCAUGCAGAACAGCUCGGCAGUGCCUAUCCCAUCGCUGGAGAAAAUGGAAAGGGGAACGAGAGCCUCCUUUCAGCAGAAGCAAUUGCUGCCCCACAAAAAUGAUCAGCCUCUAAAGACAAGGGACAGUAUUUCUUGUAAACCCUUCUACAAGGAAACAACAAGAAAAAAACACUCCAGGACUCCAACAAAACGUCCAGGGUGAUGCUUGAAGUUCCACCCUCGGGUACCAGGCACCUCCGGAUGAGCUGCCAUGUAACUGAGGUCAUCCUCACACAGCCUCUUCAAAAUGCUUUCAGAUGUAAUGAUUUUGAACACGUGCUUCAGGAAUCACAUUUCUUAUUGCCCUUCUGGGCAGGCGGAGAACGCUAAUACAGUCAUCUUAGCUAUGUAGCAGGAUGAGGGUUUCCAGAGCAUCUGCUUGCCCUGUGUAAGCAAGCUCAGCUCUAUAGAAAUAGAACAGUUUGCUGCAAACGGGAAGCUUAAAUGCUAACUGGUUUAUAUAUAAAACCCAUAAAUCACUUCUGGGCCUAGAUGGUAAGCACAAAGAGAGUAGGUAGGAAGACUUGACAAGAUAGUCCCUGGAGAAUCACAGGAAUGCACCCAAGAACUAUUACAGCUCCAACUCGAAUCCCCGCCUCAGCUGCAUCCCUGGAGCUACGUAGGUUGAAACCACAUGGUAGAAUGCAGACUUUCCCCAGGCAGCAGAGUUGAGGAAACAAGCCCAUGUUGGGCUAAAAUACAGGAUGCUACAUCACAUCUAUGGUGAACAGAUACCCUCUUGGCCCUCCUUUGUUCCCUCUUCAGUUUUUAUGGACCCUCCCUAAAGGGCACUCAAAAACGAGUCCACCAGCAGCACACACCGGGCAGUCCCCUCGCUGAGCAGGGAGGGCUCCUGAUCUCUCAUACCCUGUGCAGAUGGCACGUGAUAGCUUUAUGAUGUCUCUUCCUGUAGAGCUGUUUUCUUGUUUAAGGAAAGCCCUACACAGGAAAAUAACACCUCCCAAAGCUCCAGCCUAUGUAACGUUAACCACCCACCCCAACCACACACACCCCACAGUUACCAUUUAUCUUGUUACAAGUACAGUCACCAGAACUUGUUACAACAUGAUUCAGUUUAAUAUUGUUUUGUUUUUUUUCCUGUUUUCCUGCAUUGGAGGUGCCUGGGCAGCCACCUCACACCUCCUUGACGAGCAGUAACCAGAAGGCAGCCCAAAAGCAACCAGAGCAAGGUGCUUCUGGCUGCCCCAUCGCAGACAGGUCGUACUGGCCAAACAGGUCACACACACACCAUGGGGCAGCCUCACGGAGCUGUGCACUGAAUUAGUAUGGGGAAGAAAAAAGAGAAAAAAAAAAAAAAGAAGAAGAAAGCACAGUGCGUAUGCUUUGUAAAUGAAUUAUGAAGAAACUAAAGAUCUUGUUUCAUUUGCAGUAUCUUGGUAUGAAGUCCAGUACAAAAAAAACACAGAAGUGUAUGUAAGGUCAUUUAGCUGUUCCUCUGUGCAAGGCAUUUUGCUGCCAUACGAAUAAACGAAGAUGGAAAUAGCA